CUUCCCUUUUUUUGUGUGUUGAUUCGGUUCUUUAGCUUGCAAGGAUCGGUCCUCUUUUUUUCGUCCGCUCAACUCUUCUCUUCUAUUCGAUUUAGCAGUUUUUGUUAAGUGAUCUGUUGGCUUACCAGAAACUUUAAAUAAGAAAUUCCAAGGGAUCAAAUAAGUCAUUUCAUGAUUCUGUAAUGUCUUCUGAAUUCUAAGUGUAACAUAUACUAACAUGACAUAUGCAUAAGUUGAACUGAAAUAUUUAUAUAAAGAUAUAUGUCUACCUAAUACCUGUAUCUUGUGUUAUCAUGAUAAGUUGAUACAAAAGCUGUUUUUCUAAUGAUCCAACUGCAGUUUUCAUGAGCUCAUCAACGGUGUAUGAACUAGGGGCGAUGCUUUGAAGGGGCCGGGAGGGGCGCCCGACCCCCGAACUUUUCGGCCAGUAGUGUUAUAUAUGUAGUUUUCGUAUAGAAAUUUUUGGGUAUAUAUGUUUUCGACCCCCCGGUUCUAUAGAAUUUUUUGGGUAUAUACGUUUUCGACCCCCCGGUAAAAAAUUUCAAGCUUCGCCACUGGUAUGAACCUCAUCAGUCACAGUGACUGGUGAUAUGGAGGCUUCUUAUCAUAAGAUACCUGCAGAUGCUCUUUGGGUUUCUUAGAAGAUAG
rnacentral:lncRNA from 1 species